GUAGGCGGAUCUGUAAGUCAGUGGUGAAAUCUCACAGCUUAACUGUGAAACUGCCAUUGAUACUGCAGGUCUUGAGUGUUGUUGAAGUAGCUGGAAUAAGUAGUGUAGCGGUGAAAUGCAUAGAUAUUACUUAGAACACCAAUUGCGAAGGCAGGUUACUAAGCAACAACUGACGCUGAUGGACGAAAGCGUGGGGAGCGAACAGGAUUAGAUACCCUGGUAGUCCACGCCGUAAACGAUGCUAACUCGUUUUUGGGUUUUCGGAUUCAGAGACUAAGCGAAAGUGAUAAGUUAGCCACCUGGGGAGUACGAACGCAAGUUUGAAACUCAAAGGAAUUGACGGGGGCCCGCACAAGCGGUGGAUUAUGUGGUUUAAUUCGAUGAUACGCGAGGAACCUUACCAAGGCUUAAAUGGGAAAUGACAGGCUUAGAAAUAGGCUUUUCUUCGGACAUUUUUCAAGGUGCUGCAUGGUUGUCGUCAGCUCGUGCCGUGAGGUGUUAGGUUAAGUCCUGCAACGAGCGCAACCCCUGUCACUAGUUGCCAUCAUUAAGUUGGGGACUCUAGUGAGACUGCCUACGCAAGUAGAGAGGAAGGUGGGGAUGACGUCAAAUCAUCACGGCCCUUACGCCUUGGGCCACACACGUAAUACAAUGGCCGGUACAGAGGGCAGCUACACUGCGAAGUGAUGCAAAUCUCGAAAGCCGGUCUCAGUUCGGAUUGGAGUCUGCAACUCGACUCUAUGAAGCUGGAAUCGCUAGUAAUCGCGCAUCAGCCAUGGCGCGGUGAAUACGUUCCCGGGCCUUGUACACACCGCCCGUCAAGCCAUGGAAGUCUGGGGUACCUGAAGUCGGUGACCGUAACAGGAGCUG
rnacentral:rRNA from 1 species